AGAACCUUUAUUUUUGGUACUUCAGUGCAUGAUAGCUUUACUGCAAGAGAGACAGCGGUAAAGUGAUAGCCAGAAGUUAGUAAGUGGCUUCCCCAGAAUAUUUUUUUUCAGGCAACAGAAAGAAAAGAUUUUCUUUCAUCAAACACUUUCUGUGAUGGCAGCAGUUUGGAGCAAAUGUGUGAUAAGAAUAUCUGCAACAUAAAGAUAGCUGGGAACUUUGAAUCAGUCCCUUGGCUGACAGUGGGCAGCCCUGUGUGUUGUAAAGGAUGGUGUGAGAAAUUUUAUACUUGGCAGAUGUGGAAUAGUUUGCAGCCAUCCUAAUCACUGCUGCCUUGGAAUUGAUUUAACCCUGAAACAUGAGGGUAUGGAUGUGUAAUUAUGUCUAUGGUGGACAUGGAGAAAAGACAUAAGAUGAAUGAGAAGAAAUCAUGAGAUAUACAACUGGCACAGUGAGUGGAAUAAUUCCAGAGAAGUUUGGAAAGCAGUGAUGAAAUCUUAAGAUUUCAGAGAAAUGUUGCAGAAGAUUCUUCCAUGAUGCACAAGACUUGGAAAGAAGCUUCCAGUUGAACAAAAUAAAGCAAACAGAUAUUCACAAGUUCUGGGGGAGAAAGAGGUGAAUGAUUUCAACCUCAAACAAGGUACUGGCAACUAGGAAGGGAGGUUAACACCUGUUAGAGAUGACACCACCUCUAGAGAAUGUGUAAGCACGUAUGGUGUUUAUACAUAGGAGUAAGAAGGCCUAGAAAAACUUUUUUGUGUGUAUUUUGAGGACAGUGAGAGGUUAGAAAAUAUGUACGUCUCCUCAAAGUUAAAUUUCCCAUUAACAUGGGUGCGGUCAUCUGACACAGUUCACAGUGUGAGAUGGUAGAGAGGGUUUGUUUUAACCACACAAAUCCCCUUAGGUCAGACUCUUGUCUCUGUGUGGCUGGUGCUUGAUUCACAGAGAAAAUUUUACUGAACAGAGCAUUGGCUGUGACAUUUGCUAGGCAAGCUUGAAAAUCUAAUGCCAUACAUUAUUAAUAACGAUAAGUGUUCUGCAAAGAGAAGAUAUCAGUACUGGAAUCAUGUUCAAGCACUAUAUGCCAACUGAUUUUGUUCCAUCACUCUAUAGCAAAUACAAUUAUAUGUUAUCGAUAUUAAAGAUGCCCAUGUCAUGGAUAAUGUGAAUAUAUAAUGCAAAGUUGUAAUGAAUUUUGGAAUAUCUGAUUAGUCAUGGGAAAACUGCUUAAAAAAGAGUAUUCCAUCUACAUUUUGAACAUGUUUUUUUAUACACAGAAUGACCGAUUACACUUGUAUUAUAUGCCAUUUAUUUUGCAUAUUUUAAUUUCUAAUUACUGAUAAAUUAAGAUGACACUGAUCUAUUAAUGCCUACUGAAUGUUUAAUUCAUGGAUACCUUAAAGUGCUCACUGUCGCAGAGGAUUCUGAUAGGUUUUGGCUGGAACUCCAAAGGAGUGACAUAUUUCUAACCUCUGACUCUGUUAUAUCUACCAGGAAAUUGAAGCAUCAAUGCCACUUGAUUGAAGCAUCAAUUGCACCCUCCACAAAAUUAUUCCUUUUAAAUUAUUAAGAUCUUAAGCUGAAAUUCAUCUCAGAAGGGAGCCAUCCUAAUGCUAUGAAUGCUUAAUACAACUUAAAUCUGUAAAUGAUUACUGGCUGCUUUAAUGUAAAGUGUUUCAACUCUGAUGUAUUCUAUACCCUAAACAGAUAAUCAGCAAAUGAUGGGAAUUUUCAUCUCUCUGACUUAUGCCUGUACCUGUAGAUGAGAUGUCUUACCCAAAUGGCAGAAAGACAAGGGAUCACCAAGAAAUACAUGUCUGCAUGUUAGGAACCAGAAAAAGAUGCAGCUGAAUAAGCCAGGGCUUGCCAAAUGUCUUUGGACUGUUCUACUGAUGAACAGUUUGUAGAUGUUACAGCAAACCUCUACCAGAAAAUCAGGUUCAGGUUGUAGAGGAGUACAAUCCUAUUUUUUUGCUUCAUGAUGGCCUAUAUCUUUGGAAAUGCAGAUGAUUCUGUACCUUGGGAUGUAUGAGCAUCUUGAUGGCUCGACAGUCCUGAUCUCCAGCUGCUUGCACUGGAUACAUGGCUAUCCUGUGGAAGGUAACCCAGGUGCACAUGAGUAAAGGAGUUGUGCUGUGCUGUAAUGCCUCCUUAAGUCAGCACAGGGGCAGAUUUUUCAGGGGGCAGCAAGGGCUGAGAAAAGAGCCAGGAGCAGAGAGGGGCAACAAGGUCAGCAACAGCAAGGUGACCAACCCCCCUGCCAAAUAGAAUCACCUAGAGAUCCACCUCUCCUUUCAGUUCCCCACCAAGAAGGAGUGAGUGGACAUGGGGCCUGACAGAACUGUGCUGCCAUGUGCACAGUGUGUGUGAUUCCUACUUCCCCCAGUGUCAGAAAACAUGGUUUUAAGACCUGUUAUUCUAUUCACAGGGUGCAAGCUGUCAAAAACACCUUUGCAGGCUUCAGGAGCAUAUUGUGCUCACAAAAACAGGUAUUGGAGCCAUGGAUCCUCUGUUAGCAGCAGGCUCCGUAGAAAUGUAAAUGCAAAAUCACUUGGCAAAUGCCCAUAGCUGGAAGUGAUUUUUUCUAGGAGCAGAGGCAUUGACAAUCAUCAUUUCCAAAGAUUUUAGUCAUGCUUGCUCUGACCCUGUUGCCCCAAAUCCUAGCUUUGCUGGAGGAGGACACGUGCUGGGUUGAGCAGUUAACUAAUGGUUAUUUUCUUCUAGACAGUAGUGUUCCCAGGGAAGGGGAAGCAAUCCAUGUAUCUUGUUUGUGUGUAGUGACAGUAAGAGGCUUAAUUAAUUAGUGUUCAUGCUGAAAUGUUGGCUGAAAUUCUUAAAUGAAAAGGCAUGCAGUGUUGCCUUUCUGAAGGGGCCUGUGGCUGAACAUUUUCAAAAGCCAUCACACCUAAGUGCUUUUAACAAUGAAAAUAAAUUUUGUGUGGUUGUGAGGUGGUGUUGGAGUGGGGAGAGCAUAUUGUUUUAUGUUAGUGGAGAGUAUUUUGUGGUAGCAGUAUUCUAUAGAAUUGUUGGCUUUUUUUUUUUUAAUGCUAAGAUCCUGUGAUAAAUAUGCUAAAUGUUGGUCUCAGUUGCAACCAAUGCCCUUGCCAAGUCAUUGCCACAGUCGGUGCAUUGAGAUCAGGGAUUUCAUUUCCCUAGGAGAAAGUGAGCUGGGAAACCUUUGUUUUCAUAUCACUUCACUGCUCAUGUAUACAUUAUCUAUCUGUCACAGUGGUCAUUCAGGCUUGGUGCCAAGGUAGCCAUAAGCUUUCAGGACUGAAGAGAUGGCAUUGUUCAACAGAAAUGCCAGCACAAAGAAGGCAGCUUUCUGGAAUCCCUCCACUCCCCUCUCAGAGCAGAUGGCACGUGCCACUUCUUUUAGAGGUUCACAGCUUCACUCUUAUGAGUUAUUUGGUAGGAUAUCAGACAAGCCAGGGAGAAUAAAAUGAGAACCUUUUUGGAGGCCUUAAGCCAUGAGCAGGUCAUAUGGAUGCAUGAGUAUUGCAGCCAACGCUCUGCAAUCAGCCAUUUGUAUUCCUCUGAAUAGUGCAGGUAUGGUACUGCCAUUGGUAAGCCACAUGGAGAUCAUAAAACAAAACCUAGAAGUUAAUAAUUAAUCAAAGCCAGCAAAAAUGUGUUCUGCUUUAAUAUGACAAUGCCAGUACAUAAAAUCUUGAGCUAACAGACACUUUAAAAAAUGAAUGGUGAUUACUGUUACAGCAGCUGUUUCAUCAGCCACUUCAGAAUCACAAUAUGUUAGUCAGCAAUGCAUUCACAGAUGACAUAAGGACAGUUCAGAGUUGAGACUUUCCAUACCGUGAGGUCUAUAGAUGCUAAUUAUUUCAGUGGAUGUGUCCUGUUGAGAGCUUCAACAGAGAAUCUGGGGACAGGGCAUUGGAAGAAAUCAUCACGCUAGGUGAGGAGCUGGACAGUGUGUCUGAACUGUUUGUUGUCUGAUGAGGCCCAGUUAGGUGAGUGUGUGUGUGGGGGGGGGGGGGGUGGGCAGGGAGAGAAGGAAGGCUGCAUCUAUCCUAUUUGCUGUGUUGCCCUAUCCUUGUUCCCACCUGCCUGUCACUCCUAUUUAAACUACAAGUUCUCUGGGGCAGAGAUCAUCUACUACAAUCUGUCAUGUUCUGCGUUGUGCUUUAAGAUACUGCUAUAGUAUAAAUACAAGUUGAUUUAAUCUCCAGGGCUAUUAAUUUUGUCACUUUUCACUAAUGCUAUGUUUACUAGCUAUACAAGUUUGAGAUUCUUAAAUUGUGAUUUAAGCUUUGAUUACCUGACAGCUUUGCAAACUUUUGUUCAGAGGAUCAGAUGAAGUUACACUUUAAUGGGAUAAAAUAAUGAAUAGCGAAGCUGUGAAGAUUUGAUGUUGGGUGUAUCCAUCUAAAAUGUGAUUGUAAUCAAAACUCCACCCUUGAAUAAGUUAUUGCAAUUUCAAGUAACUUGCUUACAACCUGCUUGUAGGAUAAUCCUUACGCUAAUUUGUUGGCAUUCCAUGGGGAAUUGCAGGUAAAAAUAAUUUACAAGGGCUUCAGAGAUAAACCAAACAAGCUGGCAGAAACCUUGAUCUGUCUGUCUGCUAAAAAUAAGUUGCUAGUGGACAAAGCAAACCCAUAGAUAUACAGAUGUGUUAAUUCCAUAGUCUGUGUAAUCUGAUAUUGUCAUCAAAAUCUCAUGUGAGGGACGUGUCUAUGGCACUACUCAGUUCAAUGGAAAUUGACUUAAAAACUCAGUCUGCAAUGAAACCACAAGAGCCUGUUAGAAAGUAUCAGUAGGACUUGACCUCCCUCUUCUCUUCUUUUUAUUUUCCCCCCUUUCAAAGCUUAGCCAAAAGAAGAAAAACAAACAACAACAACAACAACAACAACAAAAAAACACAACCUAGGAUUGCUAGUACAUCAGAUAGCCGGACUGACCAGAAAAUUUACAUCGAUUUCUAACAAAUGUUGCUGACUUGAGCAGUUUAGAUAAGGAUCUCACUUUGCAUUCGUUGAGUUUUGCUCUGUACCAUGUGAUGGCAAGAGAGAUUAAAAACCACCAACAGACAACUCUGGAGGUUUUACUGUGAAAUGUGUUCUGUACUUCUGUGUUUUAACUGUUGGUUUUGCUCAAUAACUAAGUACCUAUGGUAUUUGAUUAUGUCAGUUAUUUUAUAAAUUUCAAGGUAAAAAGGGAACCCACAAAAAAUGAGCAAAAACCAACAAAUAAAACCCACCAUUUUUCUUUCUGCCUUUUUUUUUUUUCUUUCCAUGACAAUCUCUCAGGAAGAAAGGAGUAAGUAUGUUGCCUUUGUAAUUGAUCUGUUCAACAAACAAACAGCUAAGCAAACACUUUUUGUUUUAUAAGUUUCCUGGAAGGCCCAGGUAAGAUCAGUACUCUGCAGUAGUAAGUGCCCUACAAAAGCACCAACAGUACCAUGAACAGCCUGUGAAGAUCGGAGACAAUAAGGACUAAUGUGGAGGCAGUGCCAUGGGAAACAGCACUGAGCAGAGAGAUAUGCCCACUGGGCUAAGGCUAGAAAUAGAAAUGAAGCACAGAUUGGCCAACUCUCAAGCACUGUUUAAAAGCCUCUUCUUCCUUUCUGCUCCACCUGUUGCUAUGCACAUCUGCUGAGAGACAUCAAAUUCUUAUUCUGCUGACUUCAGUUGUUGAUUAGGGAAUGUUGCCAGUGCCUCUGUUAGAGAUCAGUCCUGUACUGUACACUGGCUUUUAAAAUUCAUUGAGUGCCCUCUGUUUUUUUAUGCCACAACUAAAAUUCCUGCUGGUUUAUGAUGCUAGGCUCAGAGAUCAAAUAAAUACAGGCCUUGCAUUAUGUACUUAUGACACUGAAUUAGUCAUAGUGGCAGUUUUGAGGGCACAUUUAUUUCUAGAAUCUCCUGUUUAAUUUAUGAUUGUCUUGUCCUUCACAGCUCACACUUUCCCCUCCCCCAGUAAUGCUUCCAUUCCACAGGCUUAUCCAUCCAAGGAAUUUCCCUGACAACAAAAAUAUCAAAAAUAUAAAAAUAUGACCCUGUAUUCUCUUACAAAGAUGCAUCCUGCUAUUGAUUCACCCUUGAUUUUUGAGUACUGGUUUCUCUGGAAGGUAUGCAGAGGCUAGUUCUCAAAUGCUUCUCUUCCUUCUUCUGGCCAAGACUAACAGUGCCAGCAAUGCUCCAAACCAGUUUGUCUUAGUGUACCCUUUGUCCUCUCGAUCAUUAUUGCAAAGGCACUCUUUCCUUCAGCUUAUAUUUUGCCAGCUGCAGUGAUUGUUCAUAGGCUUACUAACAAGGCAAAUAAUGGACUUCAUUUUCCCUGUUGAGCAAGGAGCCAUCAGACCUACCUUCUUAUCUUUAUUCUGCUUUUGAGCUGCUACAUGAUGACUACUUCAGCUGUCUUCCCUAUUUGCAUUAAAUUCUUCACAAGAAAAGCUGGGUUGGAAAGAGCCUAAAAUAUCUAAAAGUGGUUUAUAUGGAACUUCUCAAGUUGCUCUGAUAUGGAGAAGGAUCCUCUUCCACAAGGGAGAUUUCACAAAGUCAUUCCUGUUACUGGCAUUUGGGUUGUGUGGGUUGACUUCUCAUACAGUCCAAGUAGAUGAUUGUGCCUGGAGAUAUGCUGUAGAUACUGUAGGACUAGUAUGAAAUUACCUGGCAAUAGAGAUAUAAGUAUUUCCUGGGUUCAGAAAUAUCGUAGGAGAUUUCUUUGAGAUGUUCCAUACUUCUUCUCUCAGUACUACACUCUAAGGUUUUCUACAAUUUUGGUUGAAGUCUCUGAUCUCUUCUAGUCAGUGUCCUUCAUAUUGGCAACUCUUCCUUGAAGUACUGCAGUGUGGUAAGGUUUCAAGUAGUAAGUACCAAAUUUAAACAUAUAUGCAUACUUGGUUAUCCUACUCUGUAUGCUCUCUAUGACUAGAUUAUUUUGUAUAAUGGAAGGAAUGCCAUAUAAUUAUAGGAAAAUGUGAUAACACUUGAUUUUUAGAGAAAAAAGAAAGCGUAGUUCCUUUAACUACUUUCAUUAUAAAGAAAUGCAAAAAGAAGGGAGACAAUCUUGGAAUAUUCCAGUGCUUUCCUUUUGAUAUGCCUGUGUACUCUAAAACGCAUGCACAAGUGCUUUCAUUGGGGUAGGGAGGAACAGUUAUAUGUUCCUCUCUCUGUGGAUAACCAGAGGGAGAUUCUUAUUUAGAGAAAUAAUUAAGAAGAGAUGCUAUAGUGAAGAGGACAAAAUGGCUUCCCAGGUCUCACAAGCACUCUGUGUUCAUGCUGUCAUUUUAAAUUUGCUAACUUGCUCAGAGAAUGGCUGGUAGCUGUCAGUCAGAGGAGUAACAUGCGUUAACAAGCUUAACAGUGUUUGAACACUGCCUUGUGUGCUGACAGCACUUCACUUGAAGUGCACUUUAGUUGUUCACCUAGGCAGAAGAAAUAUCUAGGAACUUCUGGACCCGGUUUUGCUCUAUUCAAAAUCAAUUCAAGUUUUGUCAUUGAACUUAAUAGGCAUCGGAUCGGCCCUUUAGUGCUACGUAAGUGGUAGACACAGGAGAAAUUGAGACUAAAUGGACAAAAGGUGCAUUGUCUUUCUUUAUUUGUCCUUGCUGAUGAGUAGGUGCUGAUGAAUUUAACUCUCAGACUGAUUAUGUAAAUGAAAACUUUUAAAAUAACGUUACUUUAUAGCAUUUUUGUGUGUGCUAAAACUACAGUUUCAUUACUCUGAUAAAAGGUAAAUCUAUUUGCAAGGUUCAGUGCAGUUUCAAGCUAAAAUUUAAUAUUUCAGUUUGUUCUACCAGCACUUAGAACCAUGAAUUUUGAAGUAGAAAUGAUAUAGAAAUUAGACAUCUACAUUUAAAAUUGCAAAUCUCACUUUGAUAAUAAAAGGUUUUCUUCUAUGAAAAAAUGCAAAGAUGAUGCCAGGCAAUGGUCUUUGGCUGUGUGUCUAUCUCAGAGCUACUCUUGGCUGACCACCUACAUCAUUCAAAGUAUAUCUCUGGUGCUACCCAUACCACUUACCCAUGUCCCUUCAGUGUAGUAGAUAUUCUCAGGCCAUGCUUGGACACUUUGUGGGAUGGGCUCAAUCACAAAACACAGGGAUGAUAGGAGGUUUUCUUUAGCUUUGUCUGUUUAACGUGCAGGAAUUGUCUGCUCUGCCUGCUGAAAAUAUUUCCUUAGUGUUAAAUAAAUGUGUUGGGCCAGGAAAGAUGCUUCCUAAGGCAUGUAAUUGUUGGUCUUUUUUUUUUUCCUCCUUGAUAUCCAAACUAAUGAUUAAAUGUUUAUGGCAACUGGUAGUAAGUUAAAUUAGGUGAAGUUUCCCCAGUCAUGUUAGUUUUGCCUGUGACAACUGGAUAAUUACUUAAUGAAUGAACCUUUUUUUUUUGUUGUUUGUUUUUUUUUGUUUGUUUGUUUGUUUUGUCUUUCUGGGGAGUUCCAAUUCUUCACUACAUGAAGACAUCACAAUAUUGGUUAGUUGGAGAGGUGCUUCUACCCUCUCAUCAAUUUUGUGGCCUUUCUCUGGACCCAGUCUGACAGAUCAACAUCCUUCUUGAGCUUGGGACCCCAGACCUGGUCUCAGCUUCAGGACAUAUACUUGUCUACCUUGCAGGUGUUUUAUUUUGGUUUUAUAUGAGGUAAAUGGUACUGGUCACCUUUGGAUGUGGAGUACUGGACUAGAGAGAUCACAUUUCUCACCAUAUUGGCAUUUCCUUUUAGUAACAAUAACCUUUGUUUAACAGAAGGAACCUGGCUGCUGGAGCAGAAGCAUAUUAAUAGAGCAGACUAAUUAAGCUCAUAAAAAUCCAUUUUUUUCGCUAAUAAGAAAAUUAAUUUGAUUUUUUUGUAUUAAGCAUCUGCAACACUUGUAAUACUCGUGUAGAUAUUUGGUCUGGAAAAUUAAAGUGUGGAUAACAAGAAGACAGUUGAUGUAAGAAGAAAGGUAAAUAAGAAAAAGUGUGGGCAGAUAAGGAAAGGUUUAGAAUAUUUAAAGAAUAAUAGAUGAAAAAGACGGUUCAGUGUAGAUAAAUGAUGAUUAAUGAUUAAUGAGCUCACUGCAAAGCAUUUCUAGCAUUCUUAGGUGCUUCACUUAGAGAAAUAUACAUGUAAAACAAGGGAAGAUAUCAUGCUGUAAAUUUGCAUAAUUCCACUGAGGUCAGUAGAACUUUGCUGUUUUUACACCUCUGAAGGACUGGACCUUUAAAGAGUAAGUGUUGGGGAUGAAUGGUGAGAAAGAAAGGAAUGUUAGCGUCUUCAGAAACUCUGCAUGGGACAGUGGGGUUGCAUUACUUUUUCAUUAGUAGCUAAUUUGCUCCAUUUGUUAAGGCAAUACAAAGUAUAAUAGACAUUCUGUACAUUACUUUAAAAAUUCUUAAAGUAGAACUUUAAGAACUUCAGAGACUAUCUAAAGCACUUCAGUGUACUAAAGGAAAACCUCUUCAAGUCUAUAAAGAGCUGUUAUACUCUAAACUGUAGAAGAGGUUUAUUUGAAAGUUUUAUUGGUUACUGAUAGUUGCACUUUGAAGGCACCUGACAUCUAUGUGUAAUCCUGCCAUGUUUAUUUUGUCAGUUAAUGUUUUAAUCAGUAGUUGGAUUAGAUGGCCUUUACCUGCACACAUCUCAGAGAAACUUUUUCCAACUCUGACAUUCCUAAUCUCUCUCUUGUUUUUGAGGUCAUCAAACAUGCUUUAGCCUUGAGAGUUUAUUUUGGGGGGUUCUGCUUGUUUGGCCUUCUGUUACUCUGGUUGCUUCUUCAAUGUCCUUCUGAUGUGGUAUUUUGUUCUGAUCAUCUGGUCUUAAAAGCAGUUUCAAAAGGCUGUCAUCUUGGGUUUACUGUCAAACUUCCACAGUAAGGUCAUCUGCUCACAUGAUUUCAGCUAUUUUUCCAUUGAUUUCUUCUACUGCUAACUACAUUGCUUGACCACUUUUGGAGUACUGUGACCUGUGAACAUCUUAUCUGAGAUAUAUCAAUUUGAAGAACACAAAUGACUUGAAAUCCAGAGUUUUUACUUAACUGAAACCUUAAAUCAAUUAAAAGCAAAUAAAACAAACCAAAGAUAAUAAAAAUCCACACUCACCAUAAUCUAUGCAUCUAAACUUGCAACCCAAUAAGGACAGGAAAGGUUCUUCACUUGUUUCAGUUCUAUUAGUGGGUAAAGUGUCAUUACUGUUAUGUCACAUUUCAAAACUUCUUAGCUUACUUGUCAAAUGUUUGGUCUGUGUUUUUAACAUUUUGAGGAACGAAUGGAUGUGCAUUUCGUCUGGAUGACUUACCUUGGUUAAAACUUCUCACUUCUCAGGGAAAGAAUGUGGGCUCAAAGCUUAUAGUGACAACAAAGUGUAGUAAAACUUACUUUCUUGUUUAAGUCUUUAGUUGUGUAACUUGCUAGAAAACAUGUGCAUUGGGUUUAUGAGGCAAGAUUCUGGUAGUGGGGGACUGCAGAGAUGGCCUCUGUGAGAAGAAUCCAGAAGCUGCCCCCUGUUAGAUAAUGGCCAGUUUCAGCCAGCUCCAAAGGGACCCACUGCUGGCCAGAGCUGAGCCAAUAAGUGAUGUUGUUUGUGCCUCUGUAACAGGAGAUUUAAGAAAGGGGGGGAAAAAAAAAAAAAACUGCUACACAAAGGAGUAUUGAGAGUGAGUAGUGAGAACCAGCCCUGCAGGGCACCACAGUCUGUGAAGGGGGAGGGGGUCCAGGCGCCAGAGCAGAAGUUCCCCCGCAGCCUGUGGAGAGGCCCCUGGUGGAGCAGGCUGUCCCCCUGCAGCCCAUGGGUUCCACAUGGAGCAGAUCUCCAUGCUGCAGCCUGUGGAGGAGCCCCCAAUGGAGCAGUUGGAUGUGGCCCGGAGGAGUCUGUGGCUGGUGGAGAGCCCCUGCACCAGUCGGAACUGCAGCCUGUGGAGAGGAGCCCAUGCAGGAGAAAGGGGUCUGGGGGGAGCUGCUGCCUGUGGGGGGACCUGUGCUACAGCAGUUUGCUCCUGACAGAUGUAUCCUGUGGUAUGGACCCGUAUUGAAGCAAUUCUUGAAGAGCUGCUGCCUGUGGGAAGCCCAUGUAGGAUCAGUUUGGGAAGGACAGCAUCCUGUGAGAGGGACCCUGUGCUGGAGCAGUGGAAGAGAGGGACUGUGAAGGAGCAGCAGAGAUGAAGUAUCAUGGGCUGACCGCAGACCUGUUCCCAGAUCCCCUGUGCUGCUCAGGGGGAGGAUAUAGAAGAGGGUGAAUGGGGGGGAGGUGUUUGUAGUUUUAGUUUUUCACUGCUGUAGCUUGUUAGUAAUAGGUAAUAAACUUCAUUAAUCUCCCUAUGCUUAGUCUGUAUUGCCCAUGAUGAUAAUUGUUGACUAAUCUCUCUGUCCUUAUCUCAGCUCUUGAGCCCUUUUGAUCAUAUUUUCUCCCCUUUUUCCUUUGAGAAGGGAGAGGUAGAGAACAAUUGUGGUGGAGCUCAGCUGCCCAGCUGAGUAAAACCACCACAAUAAGUAAAAUCAAAAGCUAGCCAAACAGCUAGCUUUCUCUUGACCAACAGUUUGACAUUUGUGUUCUAUUGUCCAAUUUGUGUUCUAUUGUCCGUUUUGUCCUUCAACAAUAGCACUUACAUAUGUAGCUAUAUAACAGAUUUUGUUUUUAAAUUAACCUGCAUCUUUCUUCAAAGAAAUGAGAUAAGAAUCAAAAAUGGGACAAUGCACAGUCUUAGAUUCAUAGGUAGUAUGCCUUUCAGAAACAUUCUAUUUCACAGGGCAAAUAUGCUGUUCUUCAAGGAUAACAUUCACACAGAUUUGAAGCUGUGGCAUUUUCACAGAGUGAAGAGUUCCUAUCCACCAUCCAUAGUGUCCUAACAAAUGACCAAGAUUGUAUUUCUUCUUAAUAACGAAUAGGUUCAUAAUGCUCAGGUGUGUACACUGCAUGUAAGACAGCAUACGUGAAAAGCUGUAGAACCUACUUCAGCUCCUCAUGUGCAAGAGAUUUCCAUGAAGGGCUCCUAGAUACCCACAAUGGAUGUUUCCACCUCCAUCUUCUAUGUAUCAGCCCAGUCCUCAACAUGAUAUAAAGGAUUAGCUCUCAAAGUGAAUGUUUUCUGGUAGGAGACACUCAUGGAUGGACAUACCAGGUUUGAUAACAUCAUGGAGAAAGGCAAAGCCAGAAAGAAGCACCUGGUUUGUGAAUUUUCAAGUUUUUCUUUUCUGAGCAAUACUGUUUCCAACAUCAUGUUGAAGAUUGCUUCUGUCCUCCACCAACAUCAAUUCCACAUUUCAUUGUUAGUAAGCAAGCCAACUUUGGGAAGAACAAAACUUGAUCUCAUGGAAUAUUUCUACUGUACUGCUUAGUUACUCUUUCUUGAAUGGACGUUUUAUUCCUUCAGUGUGUAAAUAAAUCAUUUCUGCUCAAGAGGGCUUACUCUGCAACAGCUCUUGAUUUCCUUCUUGCUUACAGUAGUGGAAAUCACCACUAAUUCCACAGAAAUUGAUGAGAGCUAUACUAACUGUAAAAAAUAAAGUAAGCAGUGGAGAAUCCAGCACUACCUGAUAAAUUUUAAAAGCAUUAUGUGAUUAGCUCAUUAGACAGCUGUGUAAACAUGAAAUAACUAUUGAACAAAAAGUGAGCUUGUGCUAAAGAAAAGAAAAUCUCACAGAGCAAACAUCUAUAACAUGAAACAAAUUCCAUACCACUCUUUAGCAAUGGGAAGUGACUUCAUUGCAGUGAAUGGAUUUGAUUAAGACAGGGCAUACUAACUCAGGCACAGUGCCAUAUAAAUAUAUGACUUCUGUAAAUCCAUGGAUUCUGAAUUAAAACUGUUUAAUUAAGUGCAGUAAUUUAACAGCUGUAAACCCAGCUCACAGAAGUGUGAUAACAUCCAGUCUUUCUUCCGCUUUAUUCUUCAUUUGAGAUGAACUUUACCUCCUCCUUUCUCUAGUCCUAUUGACAAUUAUUUUUUUCCUUUCUAAAAUCAUUUUUCAUAGUCCUUGGCUGUCAAAAGGAGGGAUUAAUGCUUUAUGCUCAUCCUUCUGUCAUAAUAUGAGGGACUGUCGUGUGUGGAUUGAUUUCAUCCAUUGUUCUGUCCUUUAAAAAAUAUUUGUCAAUAAAAUAUAUGCAAGGCAAAUCCUUUGGCACUAACAUUAUGAGCUGAUUCAUCUUCACCACCAUGAAACUGGCUGGAAAGAAUAUGAGGAAAAACAAUCUGCUCUCAUGAUAAACCUGAGUUGUACUUAGGAUAAAUACUGCUCUACUUAUCUGCUGAAAGCAAAGCACAUUAUAUUGAGAAAUGGAAACUGAAUAAGAUAAACUUAUUCUCCUGACCUCAUUCAUUUUCAGAUGCAUUUCAAAGUUGCUCUUUUAUUGGAAAAAAUCUACAAGUUGAAUAGGAAAACUCAGUUUUUGCACUCUAAUUAUUCUGUUGACUGGUUAUAUCGUCAUCUCACCAUUGUAAUGCCAAUAGCAUGAAAUUCAUUUUCUUUCUCUUUGGAAGCUGCUCUGUUUGCCUAACAUAAUUAAUAUUAUGUCUAGUAUUGAGGUGUCAAACAUUAAAAAUACCAUGAGAUUGUUUAUGAGCAGUAAGGCUUUUGUAAAACAACAAAUCUUGAACAUACUUUAUUUUGCUAUCCAAGUUUCACAGGUCUUUAAGUGUGUUGAUUUUUAAAUUUCAAAACACCUUCCAGCUGUGUCUAGAAGUCAUUUUCAUAUUAGUAUAUACGCAGGCAAAACAGACAAACAAACAAAAAGCAGUGGAAGUAGUACACAGCCUUUUUUUUUUUUUUCAUGUUUUCCAUAUUCCUACACCUCCUCAAACUCAUCACAUUUCUGUCUCUAUGAAGUUUGAAACAAUGCUUCUUUAGGUGGUCAUUCAUCAGUUCAAGUAAUUUGGAUUGGGAGAGAAGAAAUCAGAAGUUGUUCCUUAGAACAAGAUGCAAGAAAUGCUGAUGCUUCAAGUAUUAGAAUCACUGAUCUCAGCAGACAGAGUAAGUUGAUGUGACCUAUCAACCUUAACCUUCAGAACACGUACACAUGUUUCCAGUCUAGCCCACUAAGCGGUUUUUAUAGGCAGUGGAGAAGGAAACAAAAUUUUUAAAAGAGGUUUACUUCAUCUGAAGUCUUAGACAAGUUGAAUGAAUUAUUAUUUGGAGAAGUAAAUUGUUGACAAGUCUAAAAAGCUGCUGGCUUUUAUUAGUUGGAUACUGCAGUAGUACUAGUAAUGUACCAAAAGGGCAAAAGUCUGUGUUUGAGCAAAAAGAAGAGUUGUGAUUCUAUCACAUAAGGAUGAUGAACUAUUUUGAAGUCUAUUUGUAACUGAGGGGGAUAUAAGACAACAUCUAAAUGAGCAAGUCUAGAUAAAUUGCACAUAAGAACCCUUAAAUAACUGGUGGGAGAGAGCUGUAUUCCAGCUUUGUGCUUCUCUGAGUAGCGUUUAAUGAAUUGUCGAGUUACCAGCAAUUACCAGAAGGGCAAGUUAUCUAUAGUAGUGACAGUACUCUUCAAGAGAUAUGCAAUCUUAAAAAUGUUGACAAGUUAAAAAUUGAACAGAAGCUUUUCUUUUACAUCUGUUUGCGUAUAUUUCUAUGAUCUUUUUCUCACACUUCUAUUCAGUAAAAUUAUAGUCUUGUGGAUAAAGCAACUCAGGAGAUUGAUGUUCAGUCUAAAUCUGCCUUUGCUUCAAUUGCUUGUGCGUAAGAAGAAGAUAAUAAAACUUUCACUCUCCUUCCUGUGAUCUUAGGAUUUCAAAGCAAAGAUUCCCUGUGUCAUGAAAGGGCCCAGGACAAUCGCAGAAGCUUUUGAACCACUCUCAUGAUACAAUGUGAACGUCUGGACCUAAUUCCAAGAUGACACACAGAGGAACAGACAGGUAGCUGCAUGCCUAAUUCCCCACACAAUUGGCUGAAAAUGCACCCCCUAGGAGCUGAAUUGGUAGAAGAUCAUCCAGGUACACAUUUGGAGGUCAUCUAGUCCAGCUUCCUUGAAGUGGAAAUAGUGCCAACACUGAAGCAUUGUUUUGUCCACACCUAGUUUUGAAAAUGUCCAAGAAUGGAGAUUUCACAGUUUGUCUGGACAACCUGUUGCAGUGUGGCAGUGGUUUUCUAAGAGAAGUUUGUUGUUUUGUUUUGUUUUGUUUUGUUUUUCUGAAUGUCCAGCCUGAAGAUUGCAAGCUGCACUUUGGCUGUUGCCCCUUGUUACACUGUCUGAUGCUACUUAGCACCAUUUGUCUCCCUCAGGCUUGUAACCACCCUUUAAGCAGUAACAGAUUUCUGUGAGUUGCCUCUCAGCUUUCCCUUUGCUAGGCUAAUCAAACCCAGUAUCACUAACCUCUCCAUGUUGAUCAUAUUGUCUGUGCCCCACUGCUGUGGUUGCUGUCUGCUCAAUUCUCCCCAGUUUCUUCAGUUCUACUGUGAGCUACAAGGACCAAAAGUAUGCACAGCAGUCCAGCUGGGACCUCACCACUACUGUGUCUACAGAUACAGAGAGAAAGAGAAUAUAUCUGUGUCCAUGUAUUGUUAUAGUACAAAAGACAAGAUCAAAAAAGCACCUUCCCUUUAGAAAGAAGGUGGUGAAUUUUAGACUUGCUUUGUAGCUCUACUGUAAACAAAUUCUAAAGCAUAAGGUUGUCCCUGAUAGCAUUUGUCAUGUUCUUAAGGAGGCUUACCUGAAUUCUAUUGUUGUAGAGUAGCCAAGAUGGCCAUGAUUUGUCUCCCCAGUACAUUUGUCAAACUUGUAAAAAGAUUCAAAGACAGCUGAAGGUCAUGACUGUAAAUUCAAGAUAGAUCUUUACUUGCUGCAAAUACACCCCAGUUUAUUAAGUGCCUGCCCAGUGAUUUACCAUGUAAAUUAAAGCUAUUAAAGGGUUUGCUUUUACAUUCUGAGAAUUACCAGGAAAACAAGAAAAAAAAAAGUAUUAACUUUUCAGGAACUCUUAUUACAUACGGCUUGCUAAAAUGCAUGAAUUAAUGGCAAUCACAGCAGAAGUCAGAAUGACACAAAAGCAUCUGAAUUCAGGAGCUAGUAUUGACAAAGGUAAUCACCUGUAAUUAUCACUAUGUACAAAAAGUGUGUUAACAUUUAUAUUUUCUUGUCUCCUCCUAUGGUUCAAAGUUGUUAUAGUGAAGGUCUAUAGUGAUGGAUGAGAUGCAAGUAUUUGGCCUUACUGGGAGCAUUGCCCUUCCCUCUGGGCUUCUCAUUCUCUCUUUAAUAUACAAUUCAUUUAUUACCUGGACUUGAAUUCUACUCACUGGAGAAUCACCAAGGUUAGGUUUAUUCUGCCAUUUGUAAUUCAGUAGGUUUAAUAUUAUUACGCCGAAUGAGCUGACCAGGGAGAUUAGAAAAAAACUUUCCCCUCCUCUCGCUGCUCCCAUUACAUGUGGUGCCAUUAAAUACAGAACCUUUCAGAAUAGAUCAUUGCUUGUUUGAUGCAGUGGAUGGAAAUUCUCAUUUCAGUCAGGUAUUGAACUUUCAAAGGAAAGGAUGAUCGGGAGGAAUGGGAGAAACCUUGAUAUAUCAAAGCAAGCCCUUAACUAAUAAACACAAUUCCAACCCAGGGCUUAUCCCACAUAUAAAACGUGAACUAUAAGCAUUUCAAUGUAAGUGGUGUUCAUAAGGCUAUUUUAUAUGCAACACAAUACUGGUUACUUUUAUACCCAUUUAAGGUAUAUUUUCAUAAUGAAUCACAAAUAAAUAGUUUUUCUUCUCAUGAAUUCAAAAGAGAUUUCUAGUUUUUGUCCUGUACUUUGGCACAGAAAAUUGACACCUUUUUGGAACUGCCAGUGUUAUAAUCGGUAGAAAGAACCUAGACACCAUGAAUCUUCCUCAGGACACUUAAUUGGUUUUGUCUGUCCUCUCUGUAUUUCCAGCCCAGCUACUUGAGAACAAAUUAAAAAAUCUACUUUCUCACUAUAUAUGGAAAUUUGCUUCAGAGAAAUCAAGAAGAAACUUGCUGCUGUCUUCAGAGUACUUUUGGGUUGUGUCCAGUCCCACAGGGUUAUUUUCUUGGACAACCUUUGGAGCAUACAGAUAGAGAUUCUCCUAGGCACCACAACAGCAGAAAGCUGUUGUGUAAACCAAACAAAAAAGCUUGUUUCUUAAUUUUCUUUAUUACCCAUAGCUUCCUUAAGACUAUAGAGAAGGAAAAAUUGCCCCAAAUUUGAUCAACCUGUGUUCCAGGUCCUUUUAAAAAAUUUCUUUUACAAGUAAGAAAAAAUUGCUGUAUGCCCCUUACAUACACACAAGGUAAAUGUCAAUGGGAAGGCAAUAGCUGAAUGUCAUGGCAAAACUAUUAUGCUAAGUCACAAUUAAACAGAUCCUUAGUUAACGGUAACUGAGUUUCAAGGAUAGAUACAGCUUUGGAGGAAAAGUAAUAGUUUAUAAAGACUGUAUAUGCCCCAUUUGAAGAUACUGGAUUGACCUGGAGAACUUCUAAGCAAAGAAGAAAAUAUUUUGUGGAUGUCAAGGUCAGCAUUAAUGGAAGCAUGUAAGUGCAGAGCAUCAAUAACUUCAUAUAUUAUUAAUGUGGAAAAAUAAUAAAGGAACACCAAGGAUAGGCUUUGAAAGUGAGCAUGGGGAGAUUUUUCCUAUAUGAAAUGGGAAAAGGAGUCAUAGACAAGAGGUACUAUGACAGAGAUGGUUGGUCCAAGCAGUAGAUAUUGUUCUAGCAACAUUCUCACUGGCCUGAAAGGCAGAGAAAAAGAGGCUUAUCAAAGCCUGUACAGAAAAGGUUCUGUUUUCAAGUUGCUAUUGCUCCAUUAUCCUGUUGGCUCUGGGUCAGUUUUUGCUAUCCAUGAGAAGAAAUGGCUAUUGGAUGCAUUCCAGGUUGGUGCUUCUGUAGUUGCAGCAGAGCAGUGAAAAUAGAAUGAAAGAAAGAAAAAUUGAUUACAACCUGAAGGCUGGAUAUACAAAGCUGACAGAAAAUAGGAUGUUCACACUUCCUAACUUUUAGAUUAAGAAGUCUAAGUCCCAGCUAGGAAAAAAAGGUUCUUGGAGAGUCAGUGGACCUCUACAGCUUUCUUCAAAUGGUGAUUCACAGAACCUGAGUCAGGUUCCUAUUUGUUUUGCCGUGUCGAGAAAUCUUUGACUAGCUAAGAAGUCUACUGGUCUUACAGGUCGGUGAUGUGAACUUGUCUUUGUUCAAGCCUCUGUUUCAGGCAUCAUCCAUAGGUAAAUGGUUUCCAUUCAAAUCAGAUGUUAUUUACUUUAUUUUCUUUCCUCUCUGUGUAGAAGAAAAGAGAAUUUGUCUUACUUUGUCUUACUAAAUUAGUAGAAUAGCUGCAAAAGCAGUUUUAUUGGGAGAUUCAGACAUAUUGAUUUGCAAAAAAAACCCACGCAGAUUAAUGUAUGAACAGCAUACACUAAAAAGAAUGAAAACAGGCACAGAAAAUAUUUCCCUCCUGGCUAUUUUUGGACAAUUAUCUCUUUUACUCCAAACAAUUCUAUGAGCUUUAUCCUUCUCACAGUGACAUUAAGUGUUAUACUGGCAUAAGCUAUUUUAUCUUAUUAGUCUGGCUCUACACCAGAGUAAAUGAGAGCAGAAUUUGGACCUAUAUUAUUUCGAAUGUUAUUCAUUAAAAUUUAAUGAAUAACAACACCCCUGUCUCCCCUCCCCCAAAUGUUAAUUACAUGAAAGAUCAUGAGACUACCAUCCGUCUCUGUUUUUCUCCUUCUAGCUAUUUAAUUAGUUAUACAGAGAGAAAUUCUCUAGUAGGAUAGCCUGAGAAAGGCGAUAACCUGGUGGCUAGGAUAUGUCUUCCUGGUGUGAAAAACCUACAUUUGAAUUCCUAUCAUGCACAAAGUAAAACAACUCUAACAGACUUGAGCAGAUGCUACUUCACCUUUAAAAUAUUCAGAAUUAUCCUGACUGACAAAAGGUCAAUUUAAAAACAGCUGUUAGGGUGAAAGGGAAUUAUUGACAGACCCAAAUUUGAGUAUUCUGAUUUUUUUUUUGAAAGACCUAUAAUCUGUAGUAAAAAUAAUUAUGGUUUGUUUUUGACAUGAUGUUAGGAAAAAGUGUUGCUUGUUGUAAUGCACAGUAGUUCCUAAAUUCGACUAGAUUUGAGUUAUCUAUCCUUUGCUUAUAGAAAUCUGCUAAGAGCUACAGAGCAAAGGUGAUUUUCUUAUGACGUCAUAUUAUGGGACUCGGUUUUGGAGAGGAAAAGAUACAGGGAAACGUAGUUGAGCAUUUCACUACAUAUGAGCUAAAAAGGAAAAAAAAAGUAGAUAUGCAGAAAAAGUGGAUAUACAGUAGUGAAAGGCUAGCUGACUGCUUUGGAGUCACAAGACCCAGAAAAGCCCUUUUUAUUAAGAAAAAUAAUCCCAUUUUAUUGUAUUUCAGAAUCCCAUCAUCCCUCACAGUUUCCUACCUUGUCCUCUUUAUAAGCAUUCCCAAUGUUAUUAAAACAAUCAAAAUAAUGAACCGCUUUAUUGAAGUUAGUGCAAAAACUCCACAGGACUGGUGACCAGUGUGUGGGUACUGAGUCCCAAGGUGCAGCAGAUAGAUUCAGUUCUGUUGCAGAGGGUGGAUGACACUGGCCUCUAAAGCAGAAUUAAUUGUGACUCUGUAGCAAUACAGAAGACUGAAAUAUCAGAAAAGGACAAGAUUGGUGUCCCAUAAUGUGCAACUUAGCUCAGGAUUCAAAAGACUAACCUAAGGGGAGAGUCUGUACCUCCAAAUACCAUUAGCUGCGCCAGUGGUAGCCAGGCCAUUGGCAAUGGUGUAUCACAUAGAUGUUUCUGGAAGCACUCAGAGAUGAUGCAUCCUUCAUGCUUUGUUGUGCCCCAGAUAAGUCCUUUGCCAGGUGACCUGAUUGCAGGUGGUCCAUCAUACCCUGAAGAGAGACAGAUGGGAACUGGCUGCCAAAGGGAUUAAGCUGCCUUCACAGCCCCACUCCCUACUUGGCUUUGAAGAACUGCCAGUGACUUAAGGCCCCUUCAGAAGUGCUUUAAAUGCUCCCACUGUUCACUAAUACUACAGAUAGUAUCUUCUGCCUACCUCUGCUGGCUGAGAACAGAAGCUAGCACUUUGGCCAUGAAUCACUGCAAUCCAAUAGACUUGCUGAAUAAUUCCAAGGAGCUCCUUUCCUUCAGUGUCUACACAGUCUUCUGAAGCUACACCUAACAUAAUUCUGUGGGUCACAGGGAGAGCUUGUCUCUUAAAAGGAGUAUUUAUGAGCUGGACACAUUGAUAAACACGAAGCUGGCUCAUGCUUAGACAUUUAAACUCAACAAAGCUGAAUGACACCUGCCUGUAGACACGUCCCUUCUGAUGCCAACUUAAAGAAGUCAGUUUUUGUAAUUUCUUGCUAUACCUUUUUCUUUUGUCCCUUUAUCUAUCUAAAUAUAUCACACCAUCAUUAAUGCCAGUAUUCUACUCCACUAUCCAUCCCAAGACUAACCAGAAAGCUGGUGGAGAGAACAGGAGAAGAGAAAAAGAAGAAGAGAAGAGGGGGAAGGAGGA